rnacentral:rRNA from 1 species
CAGCAGCCGCGGUAAUACGUAGGUCCCGAGCGUUGUCCGGAUUUAUUGGGCGUAAGGCGAGCGCAGGCGGUUAGAUAAGUCUGAUGUGAAAGCCCCCGGCUCAACCGGGGAGGGUCAUUGGAAACUGGGAAACUUGAGUGCAGAAGAGGAGAGUGGAAUUCCACGUGUAGCGGUGAAAUGCGUAGAGAUGUGGAGGAACACCAGUGGCGAAGGCGACUCUCUGGUCUGUAACUGACGCUGAGGAGCGAAAGCGUGGGGAGCGAACAGGAUUAGAUACCCCCGUAGUCCCUGUCUCUUAUAC